rnacentral:rRNA from 1 species
GACGAACGCUGGCGGCGUGCCUAAUACAUGCAAGUCGAGCGCAGGAAAUCGACGGAACCCUUCGGGGGGAAGUCGACGGAAUGAGCGGCGGACGGGUGAGUAACACGUAAAGAACCUGCCCUCAGGUCUGGGAUAACCACGAGAAAUCGGGGCUAAUACCGGAUGGGUCAUCGGACCGCAUGGUCCGAGGAUGAAAGGCGCUUCGGCGUCGCCUGGGGAUGGCUUUGCGGUGCAUUAGCUAGUUGGGGGGGUAAUGGCCCACCAAGGCGACGAUGCAGAGCCGACCUGAGAGGGGGAUCGGCCACACUGGGACUGAGACACGGCCCAGACUCCUACGGGAGGCAGCAGUAGGGAAUCUUCCACAAUGGACGAAAGUCUGAUGGAGCAACGCCGCGUGAACGAUGAAGGCCUUCGGGUCGUAAAGUUCUGUUGUAAGGGAAGAACAAGUGCCGCAGGCAAUGGCGGCACCUUGACGGUACCUUGCGAGAAAGCCACGGCUAACUACGUGCCAGCCGCCGCAGUAAUAC